rnacentral:rRNA from 1 species
AGAGAUCUGGAGGAAUACCGGUGGCGAAGGCGGCCCCCUGGACAAAGACUGACGCUCAGGUGCGAAAGCGUGGGGAGCAAACAGGAUUAGAUACCCUGGUAGUCCACGCCGUAAACGAUGUCUACUUGGAGGUUGUGCCCUUGAGGCGUGGCUUCCGGAGCUAACGCGUUAAGUAGACCGCCUGGGGAGUACGGCCGCAAGGUUAAAACUCAAAUGAAUUGACGGGGGCCCGCACAAGCGGUGGAGCAUGUGGUUUAAUUCGAUGCAACGCGAAGAACCUUACCUGGUCUUGACAUCCACAGAACUUUCCAGAGAUGGAUUGGUGC